rnacentral:snRNA from 1 species
UUGGGAGACGAUGAUUCUA